UACAGAGGGGGCAAGCGUUGUUCGGAAUUACUGGGCGUAAAGGGCGCGUAGGCGGCCUGCUAAGUCGGAUGUGAAAUCCCUCGGCUCAACCGAGGAACUGCAUCCGAUACUGGCGGGCUUGAAUCCGGGAGAGGAUGGUGGAACUCCCAGUGUAGAGGUGAAAUUCGUAGAUAUUGGGAAGAACACCCGUGGCGAAGGCGGCCAUCUGGACCGGUACUGACGCUAAGGCGCGACAGCGUGGGGAGCAAACAGG
rnacentral:rRNA from 1 species